rnacentral:sRNA from 1 species
UCUGUCAACGGUAAAUCGCAAGACCGGAGGUCGAGAAUUUAAGGAGUUGAUAGACUGGCCGUA